AGUUCUAUUGAGAUCAUAGUUGAUUCAUCAUUUGGAGGGAUUUUCUAAUGAGGUGGACUUCUUAAUUUUUUUCUCGGCUUUGUCAGUCUUGUCGGAGUUUUUUUUCAAAAAAAUGAUGUCAUCAUUUGGAGGAGCUUUCUGAAUCGUAGAUCAUGAUCGAUUCAUCAUUUGGAGAAGCUUUCCAAAUCAUAGAUCAUAGUCAAUUCAUCAUUUGGAGAAGCUUUCAGAAUCAUAG
rnacentral:lncRNA from 1 species